rnacentral:rRNA from 1 species
AGAGUUUGAUCAUGGCUCAGGAUGAACGCUAGCGGGAGUAACACAUGCAAGUCGAGGGGCAGCACGAGGUAGCAAUACUUUGGUGGCGACCGGCGCACGGGUGAGUAACGCGUAUGUAACCUACCCUGUACAGGGGGAUAGCCCGGAGAAAUUCGGAUUAAUACUCCAUAAUGAUAAAUCAAGGCAUCUUGAUAUAUUUAAAGUUUCGACGGUACAGGAUGGGCAUGCGUAACAUUAGCUAGUUGGUAAGGUAACGGCUUACCAAGGCUACGAUGUUUAGGGGUCCUGAGAGGGUGAUCCCCCACACUGGUACUGAGACACGGACCAGACUCCUACGGGAGGCAGCAGUGAGGAAUAUUGGUCAAUGGGCGUAAGCCUGAACCAGCCAUCCCGCGUGCAGGAAGACGGCGCUAUGCGUUGUAAACUGCUUUUCCAGGGGAAGAAAACCCGCUACGUGUAGCGGCUUGCCGGUACCCUGGGAAUAAGCAUCGGCUAACUCCGUGCCAGCAGCCGCGGUAAUACGGAGGAUGCAAGCGUUAUCCGGAUUUAUUGGGUUUAAAGGGUGCGUAGGCGAAUUAAUAAGUCAGUGGUGAAACCCUGCAGCUUAACUGUAGACUUGCCAUUGAUACUGUUAGUCUUGAGUAUGGUCAAGGUAGGCGGAAUGUGUAAUGUAGCGGUGAAAUGCUUAGAUAUUACACAGAACACCGAUUGCGAAGGCAGCUUACUGGUCCAUUACUGACGCUGAUGCACGAAAGCGUGGGGAGCGAACAGGAUUAGAUACCCUAGUAGUCC